UUUUUUUUUUUUUUUUGAGAUGGAGUCUCACUGUGUCACCCAGGCUGGAGUGCAGUGGCACAAUCUCAGCUCACUGCAACCUCUGCCUCCUGGGUUCAAGUGAUUCUCCUGCCUCAGCCUCCUGAGUAGCCAGGAUUACAGGCGCCCACCACCACGCCUGGCUAAUUUUUGUAUUUUUAGUAGAGAUGGGGUUUUGCCAUGUUGGUCAGUCUGGUCUCAAACUCCUGACCUCGUGAUCUGCACGCCUCGGCCUCCCAAAGUGCUGGGAUUACAGGUGUAAGCCACCGCACCCAGCCGAUCAAAUAACUUCUCUAUGUCUAUGCAAUAUUUGAUUUCAUCUUCACAGCAGCUCUAUCAGGUUUCUAUUACUAUUAUUUCCAUGUUAGUGAUGUGGAAAUUUAGGAAGUAUAAGUAACUGGCCCAAGGUCUUAUAGAUAGGGAACUGUAGGGCUGGGAACUAUAUGGAACCAGUGAGACCAUCCUAAGUUCUUUUAUCCUUUAUCCUUUACCUACAUGCAGCCAAGCUAGAAGCUGUAUAUAUGUUCUCACUGACUUUUCAAACAAUCUCUGAGCAAAGGCUGCAUUUUUAGAGAUUUCUCAUUAUGGUUAAUAUUGACAUGUAUUUUUUUGUUUUUUUUUUAGUAGUGAGCUUAUUGUUUGUUCCUUGAGCAAAAAUAAGAGGACUCACAGCAGGUUCAAUGGUUCUGGAUGUCAGACCUCAACCCUAGUCUUGCAGGGACCAUUCCCAUCUUCCACCCCUCCAUGGCACAGAUGUAUGAUGUUAGAUCCUCUGAAAUUUUAGCUCAAGAAAAUUGGAUGGGACCUAAUCAGCUGAACAAACAAGGCUGCAAAUUGAUCCUGACAUGGGAAGUCAUCAGGAAUCUGUAACAAAAUUUCCAAGCUGUCAAAACAGUUCAAUAUGCAUUCACUUAGAGCAUGGGGGAUUAAAAAUUCCAAUUCUCCACCAGACACCAGUGAUGAGUGGAGAAAAUGAAUGGGCCGUUAUAAACCUAAUCUUCUGACGCUAAUUGUCACUGGAGCAGCACAGGACCCAAACAUCAUUCUCUCCUGCAGCAGACUUGGGAGUGCAAUUGGAUUUUGAUCUGGCUCUUUGUCGCCAGUCGGGGCAUUUCAGGACAGGACCCCUCUGGAAGAUGAGUCACUGUGCCUUCUAAACAGAGCAAGGACCCAGUCCUGGGGCAUGGUCAUGUCUUUCUGGCCUCCCUUGGCACCGCACAGCAAUGCUGGGUCCCUUCAAGUCAGGCAGUGGCACCAGGGCUACUGGGGUCUCUCAGUCAGAUCCAGCUGAAGGGCUGAGAGGAAGGCACACAUCCCAGGACUCUGUUAGUUUCCUGGGGCUACCAUAACAAAGUGCUCCAAUCUGGGUGGUCUAAACCACAGAUAUUUAUUGCCUCACCAUUCGAGAGGCUAGAAAUCUGAAACCAAGGUGUUGACAGAUUGGUUUCCUCUGAGACUGAGAUCAAGGCUCUGUUCCACCCCUCACUCCUAACUUCUAGUAGCUUACCAGCAAUCUUCAGCAUUCCUUGGCUUAUGGUUGCAUCAGCAUGAUCUCAGCCUCC
ensembl:lncRNA